rnacentral:rRNA from 1 species
GACGAACGCUGGCGGCGGGCUUAACACAUGCAAGUCGAGCGGAAAGGCCGUGCUUUUGUGUGGUUCUCGAGUGGCGAAGGGGUGAGUAACACGUGAGUAACCUUCCCUUGACUUGGGGAUAACUUCAGGAAACUGGGGCUAAUACCGGCGAGGAGCUCCUGCUGCAUGGUGGGGGUUGGAACGUUUGCGCUGUGGGGGAUGGACUCGGGGGUUAUCAGCUUGUUGGUGGGGGAGUGGCUUACCAAGGGUUUGGCGGGUAGCCGGCCUGAGAGGGUGACCGGCGACAUUGGGACUGAGAUACGGCCCAGACUGCUACGGGAGGCAGCAGGGGGGAAUAUUGCACAAUGGGCGGAAGGCUGAUGCAGCAACGCCGCGUGCGGGAUAACGGCCUUCGUGUUGUAAACCGCUUUCGCCUGUGACGAAGCGUGAGUGACGGUAAUGGGUAAAGAAGCACCGGCUAACUACGUG